UCCUUUCUUAUCUGGUUGCCUGGCUCAAUUUGCAUUUGAAAAACUUCUUCAAAAGAGUGGGUCAUCUUGUUGGCCGCUGGUACCUAUCAUUUUCGAGGUAUAUGAGUUUCAUAAUUAAUUCAAGUCACUAACGAUGAAAUGGGAUCCUUAUUUGAGGGAAAAUUUAAAAAAUUUUGACAGGUGUAUAGGUUGUAUCAGUUGAGCAAAGCUGCUCACUUCAUUGAAAAGUUGAUGUUUGCAAUGAAGGGAGUUCCUGUAUCCCCACAAGUGCUGGAAAAAAGUGGUGCCUUAGUAGCUAUGCUAGUAACUUUCCAAGUCCUUGGUAUGGUUUGUCUCUGGUCAUUGCUGACUUUUCUUCAGAGGCUCUUCCCUUCUAGACCUGUUGCAGAGAAUUACUAGACUGUUCAAAGAGUUGUAUAAUUAAUGCUUAUGCUUUAACUGUUAUUUCAUGCUCGAGUUUAGAUGUGCAGGAUUUUGUAAUGUAAACAAAAUCUAUCGUUAGGGAACUUUUUUAAAAUCAGAAGUGCCAUUAGCAUAAACAUUCGCACACAACCUGGUGAAUGAAACAUAUCAGCCGUUUCCAACAUGGUACAUGAUACCAUCCGAUGAAAGGGUAUAAGAUCCACAUGGUACUAGCAAAGAUCAUUAAUUUGCCAGAACAGUCCAUAUUCUGCAUAUACCAUUCAGUAUUCAACCAAAAGCAUUCAUUCAGGAGUAAUCUUGAAACCAUUUGAAGAAUGUUUCCUCGGUGAAAAACAAAAACUAGGUUCCUUAUUCGACUUGAGUUAACCAAUUCACCGGAACCAACCAACUAUUCUGGUGUUUGCAUGUAUGACUCUUAUCUAUAAAAAGCUUGAAUAGCAACAACACAUCCUGCUCUAGCAAAUCAAGAGAUACUUGGAGCAUCAAUUUGAAGCUAAUGUAGAGCUGUAGACAAAUCGACUGAAAAUAUCAACUACAAGGUUAUUGCAUAGUACAGCCCAAACACCGGUCAACCCCAUUCCUUGAUAGAAAAUGUGGAGUUAAGUACACAAUUGAUCACCUCCUCAAGUGCUCUAUGAAGAUCCAUUUCGUAAUAACGAAGAGUAAGAAUAGGGUAUAUAACUGGCUACAAAGAAACAAAAUAGCAUUACAGAGUUGGGUACUAAAUUCAACCAACGGAGAUAUGUCCUUUAACAAAAUUGAUUCAAGAAUUCGACCAAUUAAGGAACUUCAAAUGUUUAAAAAAAACAUAUGACUAAUAGAGAGAGAGAGAGAGAGAGAGAGAGAGAGAGAGAGAGAGAGAGAGAGAGAGAGAGAGAGAGGGAGGGAGGGAGAUUAGACUAAUAAUCACCUAACUAACUAACAAACAAACUGACUUAUUGACAGAAUGACUAAACUACCCUUCUAUAUUAUUAACAUCCCCCUCAGGUUAGGAGUUUGAAACAAAUUGUGAACACCUAACUCGGUAAUCAAAGCAGACAAUGCUCUUGUAAAAAUAUCAGCAGGUUGCAAGUGAGAAGGUAGAUGAGCUGUAGAAAUCCUUUCUUGAAUAAGUUUUUUUCCUACAAGAUGACAGUCUGUUGCUUAGUGUGCACAUGAUACACAAUAUUUAAGGUAAUGUGCAGGGUUGACUUAUUGUCACAAUAAAAGGUCACAGGGGUGAGAGAUUUUAUCCCAUAAUCCUGCAGCAGAGCUAACAUCCAAGUAAUCUCAUACACAGCAGGUAUUAGUCAUUGGUCUAUGUUAAGCUUCAGCUGAAGAUGUAGAGAGUUGGUUGCUUCUUGCUUGCUUUUCUAUGAAUUAAGAGAAGAGCCUAGAAGCACACAGUAACCAGUCAAAUAUUGUCUUGACAAUUUACAUCCUCCCAAGUCAGUAUCAUAAAAUGCUUUCAAAGAUAAAGCAGAAAAGGAGAUCUUGUCCCGGAGACUAGUUUAGGUAUCUAACUAAUUUGAGAGCAACAUGCAGAUUCUCUUCCAUAGGACUGGCAAGAAACUGAGCCAAUAUAUGGACUGAAUAGGAGAUAUCAGGCCUAGUAAUAGUUAAGUAAAUGAGUCUCCCAACCAACCUUUUGUAGGUACUGAUAUCUGAGGGAGUUAAAGAAUCACCAGAGGCUUAAAGGAGAGUAUGAUGUUGUUCCAUUGGUACCUUGGAUGGUGUUGCUCCAGUGAUCACUGUGAGAUUGUUUACAGCCAAACUGAUAUAAAGCUGAAGAUAGUUUAAGGAACUAUUGUCUAGGAACCUGCUUCAAGCUAUAUAAAGAUUUAUUCAGCUUAACCAAAGGAGCAGUGGAGUCGGUAGCAACCUUGUUGGUAGUAUGAUGAAAAUCAAAAGGAAGAGCCAUCUACACCUCUUCAUCAAGGUCUCCAUGUAGUAAAACAUUUCUCAAAUCCAUUGGUGUUAAAGACCACCCUUUAAUAGCUGCAACAACAAUAAGCACUCUCACAAUUGUCAUCUUUGUUACAGGAGCAAAGGUUUCAAUGUAAUCUAGGCCUGCGGUCUGAGUAAAGCCCUUAACCAAUAACCUAGCCAGUAUCUAGGUUUGUAAACGGAUAUAUACUGAUAAGGAUACAGUAGUAUUCGGAUACAGAAAAUCAAUUUACUAUUCAUAUUCAUAUCCGGUAUUCGAAGGAUUUUAAAAAUGCUAUAUGUAUCCAGUAUUCGAAAUAAUAUCCGUUUUUGUUUAUUUUAUUCGAAUAACCAUAUUCAGAAUUUGUUUAUCAUUCACCAAAUAUAAAAUUCAUUCAAAUUACUUACAAAAAAUAAAGAAAAAAAUUGAAUAAUUACUCAUCACCAAUCACAAUUUAAAGUUUAAACCAUAUAUAUUAAUUAAACAUCCUAAUCAUAAAGGGGAGGAAAAUACACAUCAUCAUACACCACUGAUCAUAAAAAUCAAAAUUUAAACAUCCUAGAGAGCUGUAAGAAAAAUAAAUAAUAUUAGCACAAUGUUAAUCUAAAAUAAUUAAUAUAUUGUUAAGCAUCAACUUUUACAAGAUUUCAUGUAAAAGUUUAUGGCAUAAUUAUUAAAAUAAUUAAUAUAAUGUUAUGGCAUGAACUUUUUUUACCUUAUAUUCUUAAUAAAGUAAUACUUAAACAUUCAAUCCAACUAUUUGGCAAUAAACUUACACAUUUUGGCAUUCAAACCAAGAAAUAAAAGAAGUACAGCAGGCCGGAUUUAAGCUCAUAGCAUAAUAGGAGGUAAAAAACUUACAAAUACUAAGCUCGUGAUCCUCACUAUCUCCAAUGGUAGCACCAACUUCAAUUGUAG
rnacentral:lncRNA from 1 species